UACGGAGGGUGCAAGCGUUAUCCGGAUUCACUGGGUUUAAAGGGUGCGUAGGUGGUCCGAUAAGUCAGUGGUGAAAUCUUCGAGCUUAACUCGGAAACUGCCGUUGAUACUAUCUGUCUUGAAUACCGUGGAGAUGAGCGGAAUAUGUCAUGUAGCGGUGAAAUGCUUAGAUAUGACAUAGAACACCGAUUGCGAAGGCAGCUCGUUACACGCAUAUUGACUCUGAGGCUCGAAAGCGUGGGGAUCAAACAGG
rnacentral:rRNA from 1 species